AUUCCUUCUGUUUUCUAAAAAAAAAAAUCAAAUAUUCCCCCUCUCUCAUCAUAAAAUCCAAUGCCUCUCUCUUAGAAACCAUUCAGUUUAUCUCUUCUCAAAAUACAAACGAAAGAAAAUAAUUCCAGUUCAAAAGAUCCAUAUGGUAGCUGGAAAUAGAAAACGUGGCGGAGCAAAUAUGAAGUUCUACGGCGGGAAGAUGAGCGUGCGGCGGCCGGUGAAGGUGCGGUGGUGCCGCUACGACAAGAAAACUCAAAGGAAAAUGCAAGAUCUACAAACAGGGUUUUGAAACCUUAAGCUCAAAAUCAAACGCAAAUAGCACAUAAAUCGAAAAUAGAGGAAAGAUACCUUUUGAUUGAAGAACGACGACGACAGUGGCUUAGGUGCGGUGGUUGGAGCUCCGGUCAGAGGCGUUUUACGCAAAGUUGUCCCGGCAGCGACGAUUUCUAUCGGUAGUCAUCUCAGGUUGGGAGUGAGAUAUGCUUCUUGAAAAUACAUUUUUCCCCGGAUUUUGUUUAUAAGCUUCGUGCGGUAUAAAGCUAAAUUAAACUAUUGUGAGAGGGAAACUCCUAAGGUUGCGAAGCAAGACAUGAGAAGAAGUCACGCGGUCGUGCAUACAAGCGGAUGCAAUUCAAUUGUCAAUUUGUUAUUGCGGCAACAAAAGAGAUUGCUUUAGCCAAUGCUCUUGUGGAUGUAGCUACAAGGAUUAAAAAAGACGAGGUUGAGCUUUGUUUAUGAUGUCUAAAGGGGCUGUAUGCUGGAUACAUUAUAUUCUUUGUUCAGUCAGCAUUGAUUAUUAUCGGUUCUAGAGGGUGCAAAAUAAGGAGGACCAAACAACUAAUAUAGUGUGGGAAUUAAGAACUCAGAGGAACAACAUCUAAAUGCAGUGUCAGGGGACUUUAGUUUUCGAUCAAAUGACCCACUGCCUCUAUCAAAACUGCUGGACUCAAGUUUGGCUACAGAAGGGAAAACCUCAAUGGUUACUAUAGUUGCAGACUACAGAAUAUAUUAUCAAUCUGGUGACAAUUGAGCUUUUGGUUGUUUGUUUUGUAACUGUAACUCUUUUUUGGUUGUUAUAUAUAUAUAUAUAUAUAU